rnacentral:rRNA from 1 species
UACGUAGGUGGCAAGCGUUGUCCGGAUUUACUGGGCGUAAAGAGCGCGCAGGCGGUCGAUUUAGUCGCGUGUGAAAGCCCCCGGCUCAACUGGGGAGGGUCACGCGAUACUGAUCGACUCGAAGGCAGGAGAGGGUAGUGGAAUUCCCGGUGUAGUGGUGAAAUGCGUAGAUAUCGGGAGGAACACCAGUGGCGAAGGCGACUACCUGGCCUGUUCUUGACGCUGAGGCGCGAAAGCGUGGGGAGCGAACAGG